rnacentral:rRNA from 1 species
GCAGUCGCACGAGAAAGCGGGAGCAAUCUCGCAAGUACAGUGGCGUACGGGUGAGUAACACGUGGGUAAUCUACCUUUUAGUGGGGAAUAACGCUGGGAAACCGGCGCUAAUACCGCAUAAGCUCGAGAGAGGAAAGCAGCAAUGCGCUGAAAGAGGAGCCCGCGGCCGAUUAGCUAGUUGGUAGGGUAAAAGCCUACCAAGGCAGAGAUCGGUAGCCGGCCUGAGAGGGCACACGGCCACACUGGCACUGAAACACGGGCCAGACUCCUACGGGAGGCAGCAGUGGGGAAUCUUGCACAAUGGGGGCAACCCUGAUGCAGCGACGCCGCGUGAGCGAUGAAGCCCUUCGGGGUGUAAAGCUCUUUCGGCAGGGACGAUAAUGACGGUACCUGCAGAAGCAGCUGCGGCUAACUACGUGCCAGCAGCCGCGGUAAUACGUAGGCAGCGAGCGUUGUUCGGAGUUACUGGGCGUAAAGGGUGUGUAGGCGGUUCUCUAAGUUUGGUGUGAAAUCUCCCGGCUCAACCGGGAGGGUGCGCCGAAAACUGGGGGACUAGAGUGCGGGAUGGGAGAGUAGAAUUCCUGGUGUAGCGGUGAAAUGCGUAGAUAUCAGGAGGAAUACCGGUGGUGCAGACGGCUCUCUGGACCGCAACUGACGCUGAGACACGAAAGCGUGGGUAGCAAACAGGAUUAGAUACCCUGGUAGUCCACGCCCUAAACGAUGCAUAUUUGGUGUAGGUCAUUCAGUUGAUCUGUGCCGGAGCUAACGCGUUAAAUAUGCCGCCUGGGGAGUACAGUCGCAAGGCUGAAACUCAAAGGAAUUGACGGGGGCCCGCACAAGCGG